AGCGGCGGACGGGUGAGUAACACGUGGGUAACCUGCCUGUAAGACUGGGAUAACUCCGGGAAACCGGGGCUAAUACCGGAUGCUUGAUUGAACCGCAUGGUUCAAUUAUAAAAGGUGGCUUUUAGCUACCACUUACAGAUGGACCCGCGGCGCAUUAGCUAGUUGGUGAGGUAACGGCUCACCAAGGCAACGAUGCGUAGCCGACCUGAGAGGGUGAUCGGCCACACUGGGACUGAGACACGGCCCAGACUCCUACGGGAGGCAGCAGUAGGGAAUCUUCCGCAAUGGACGAAAGUCUGACGGAGCAACGCCGCGUGAGUGAUGAAGGUUUUCGGAUCGUAAAACUCUGUUGUUAGGGAAGAACAAGUACCGUUCGAAUAGGGCGGUACCUUGACGGUACCUAACCAGAAAGCCACGGCUAACUACGUGCCAGCAGCCGCGGUAAUACGUAGGUGGCAAGCGUUGUCCGGAAUUAUUGGGCGUAAAGCGCGCGCAGGCGGUUUCUUAAGUCUGAUGUGAAAGCCCCCGGCUCAACCGGGGAGGGUCAUUGGAAACUGGGGAACUUGAGUGCAGAAGAGGAGAGUGGAAUUCCACGUGUAGCGGUGAAAUGCGUAGAGAUGUGGAGGAACACCAGUGGCGAAGGCGACUCUCUGGUCUGUAACUGACGCUGAGGCGCGAAAGCGUGGGGAGCGAACAGGAUUAGAUACCCUGGUAGUCCACGCCGUAAACGAUGAGUGCUAAGUGUUAGAGGGUU
rnacentral:rRNA from 1 species